AUUGAACGCUGGCGGCAUGCUUUACACAUGCAAGUCGAACGGCAGCGCGGGCUUCGGCCUGGCGGCGAGUGGCGAUCGGGUGAGUAAUGCAUCGGAACGUGCCCAGUAGUGGGGGAUAGCCCGGCGAAAGCCGGAUUAAUACCGCAUACGACCUGAGGGUGAAAGCGGGGGACCGAAAGGCCUCGCGCUAUUGGAGCGGCCGAUGUCGGAUUAGCUAGUUGGUGGGGUAAAGGCUUACCAAGGCGACGAUCCAUAGCUGGUCUGAGAGGACGACCAGCCACACUGGGACUGAGACACGGCCCAGACUCCUACGGGAGGCAGCAGUGGGGAAUUUUGGACAAUGGGGGCAACCCUGAUCCAGCCAUGCCGCGUGCGGGAAGAAGGCCUUCGGGUUGUAAACCGCUUUUGUUCGGGAAGAAAUCCUCUGGGCUAAUACCCCGGGGGGAUGACGGUACCGGAAGAAUAAGCACCGGCUAACUACGUG
rnacentral:rRNA from 1 species